rnacentral:rRNA from 1 species
GAAUAUUGGACAAUGGGCGAAAGCCUGAUCCAGCCAUGCCGCGUGAGUGAAGAGGGCCUUAGGGUUGUAAAGCUCUUUCAGCGGGGAAGAUAAUGACGGUACCCGCAGACGAAGCCCCGGCUAACUUCGUGCCAGCAGCCGCGGUAAUACGAAGGGGGCUAGCGUUGUUCGGAAUUACUGGGCGUAAAGCGCGCGUAGGCGGAUCGCUAAGUCAGGGGUGAAAUCCCAGGGCUCAACCCUGGAACUGCCUUUGAUACUGGCGAUCUGGAGAUCGGGAGAGGUAGGUGGAAUUCCGAGUGUAGAGGUGAAAUUCGUAGAUAUUCGGAGGAACACCAGAAGCGAAGGCGGCCAACUGGCCCGAUACUGACGCUGAGGCGCGAAAGCGUGGGGAGCAAACAG